rnacentral:misc_RNA from 1 species
GUAAAACUUCCUUGGAAACACUUAAUUGCAGAAGAACUUUUUUUUUUUAGUUUUCCACCAGGAAAAAACAAAUUUAAGAUUUUUACACCAUGAGGUAGUUUAAAUUAUUGCAUUAUUUGAAAUUUAAAUAAAAAGAGGAAAACUUUCAGGAAGGCACUCCAAUUUGAGCAAGAUUUUGGUCAAUAUUAACAGAGGAGAGAGUUAUAGAAUGGUUUCUCUGCAUCAAAAGCAAACCCAUUUGUUUUCGUGCCCCCUUCCUCGUUCAAGAAACCCAUUGAAGAAGGCUAAAAACAUUCUUUUCUAAUAACGGAAAAAAGAGAAUACACGCACACACACAUGACGCUAAAGUAAAAGUCUCAAAGGAAACCCUAAUCAGAAAACCAAAUCCACAAACAAAUAUCCCUCUUCUCCAAAAACCCAAAUCAAACCCGCAAAAUCACGAUCCAAAAAUCAAUCCUUAUCCUUCAAAAUACAAAACCAUAUCCCAAAAUAGCUUACUCAAGUACCAAACCAACAAAACAAUCAUCACAAAUAGAGGAAAAGGAAAAUCUAAUCAUCCCCAGGAAAAUCAUUAACUGAGCACAGUAUAGAGUAACCAAUGGG